UAUAAAACUCAAAGCUCUGUGUGUCAUGUCUGACUUUACCGACAGAUGGCCUGAACUCUCCUGCCUUGGUGUAUUUCUUGAGUGGAGCUUUGAUAUUUGCGACCAUCCUGAUAGUCAUCAUGGCCUUCUUACUGUACAAGAUGAACAAAAGAAACCGUCUCCUAUCUCAAGAGGCUCAAGCAAGAUUUUCUGCUCCUGCCAUAAGAAACCAUGAGGGUCACAGAGAAGCAGACAACCUCUUCUAUGCCACUCUUAACGUUAAUAGGCCCAACACAUCGAGAAGACAGAGAAACACAACCAAAGACGAGUGUGUGUACUCCAGCGUGAAGCAGUAGAAGUCAAUUGUUUCUUUGUUACUAUUUCAGCUUGACUUGGUUUUGUAUUGUAUUUUAGAAGACUUGUAAACUUUGUGAAUCAAAUGUCUUUGAAUGUUUAAUUUCU